rnacentral:rRNA from 1 species
CCUACGGGUGGCGGCAGUCGAGAAUCAUUCACAAUGGGGGAAACCCUGAUGGUGCGACGCCGCGUGGGGGAAUGAAGGUCUUCGGAUUGUAAACUCCUGUUAUGCGGGAGCAAAUUAAGAUGAUAGUAUCUCACUAGGAAGAGACGGCGAACUCGGUGCCAGCAGCCGCGGUACUACAGAGGUGUCAAGCGUUGUGCGGAAUGAGUGGGCGUAAAGCGUUCGUAGGCUGUUUCGUAAGUCGGGUGUGAAAGGCGCGGGCUCAACCCGCGAAUGGCACAUGAUACUGCGAGACUAGAGAAAUGUAGGGGGAGCCGGAAUGCUCGGUGUAGCAGUGAAAUGCGUAGAGAUC